ensembl:lncRNA
UAUCAUCACCAGAUUUGUCUUUAAUAUAAAAUAAACACAUCAGACUGUUAAAAUUCAGUAUUUUGUGGAACUCUGUAUUUUUGUAUAUUCUGAUACAAAAAACAUCACAUAGUUGCUUUUCUAUUUUACAAGUACUAAACUCUCAUAUUUCCAAGGAAAUGCUGUCUGUACAUGUCUGCAGCUCGGCUCCUUCUGUUAGAAAGUACAGUGAAAACAGCUGAAAACAAGUUUGCACUCAUCAGCUGACAUUACCUUGUCUCAUAGCAGAAAUAGUGAAUAUACAGAACUGAUCUCAGACAUGUUAUGAGCGCAUCCUGAUCUCCGAAGCUCAAAUAGAUGUACAGCAGGAAGCAUGAACCGACCUAACAAAUCAACAACGUCCUGCAGCAGAAUCUGUUAUUGUCUGGAUUUGACCUCAAAGGAUGCUGCUGAUUGGCUGAGGCUGGUGCCCCAAUGCAGCAAAAUGAUUCAGCAGGUUUCAUGUAUUGUACUCAGGAGGGAUGUUUCUCUCUGCCUGGCCUCCUGUUACAUUAACCAAUGAGCAGAGUUAAAAAGCACCCCUCCCACUAGUUCCUAAAUAUGUGUUUGUACUGCUGGGCGAGGCUGUUUGAUGCUAAUGCUUCUCACUAAUUUGUUGACUGUCUUUCAAAAUUCACUUUAAACAAAUCAAGGUCUUUAAUCCUCCCCUCCAACCAAUUAUGCAAGUAGAGUUUUUAAGUGCAGAUGACGCAGCACGAUAACAUUUUACAAAGUAAUGCAGCAAAGUGGCUUCAGUCAGGAAACAAAACUGUAUCGGCGAGUCAAAUUUUAGGCCUUUAAGUGCAUUUUCCUUCUUUUCACAUUUCUUCCUCCUCCUUCUGCUCCUCCUCCUCCUGCUCCAGGUCUAUGCUGCAGUGGCACAAAUCUGAUCCUGAACCUCAGUGACAGUGCCACACCCUCCCAUCCCAUCCCUGCUGUACCAUGCAGACAAACAGAAAGCGCAGGUUCAGAGGCAGCUCUUCACAGAUCACCAAAAACCUGAAUGAUUUGGGCCUUCAGACAUUAUUACUGAAUCUUUUUCCUACACAAUAAGAGUGGCAGGAUAUUAUACUUCACAAAAGUGAUCAAAAAAGCGACAUGUCUCAACAAUCAAAACCGAGAAGGAGCAUGAUUUCAAGCGAUGAUGUCAUCCACAAACUGGCACUGGGAGUUUUCAGCACUGCUGUCGUAUGAACUGUAGGUGGAUACAUGAAGGAAAAAGAAAAACAAACAGAGCCUUUUAAAGACCGCACCACCACCUCCGCUAACAACGUUUAAGGAGAGUUAUAUAAUCAUUACAUCCUCUUUGGCUCUGUGGCUCAGCAGCCACAGUUUCUCAUACACUCAGCACUGCCUGCAGCACAUGUAGCAAAUAUCAGAGCAGAACAAUAUUUCAAUGCUGGAUUAUUUCCAAAAUAACACUUUCCUGAUGUUCUGAGCCAUGAGUUUAAAACAUGGCAUCCAUGAAACCCGCAUAACCCCCAACAAUGAGACUUCUCUAACAAAUAGAUGACAUCAUGGUGGCCAUUUUUUGGCCGUAGUGUCUACCAACUAAAUGCUCACUAGCCCUUUGCUAACACCUCUGCAUGGGAUGUUUUAUUGUUACCACAACAAAACGCUGAUUUUAGCCGCUUAAAGCAAAUUGCGCCAGACUCCAGGAUUUAGGCCAAGCUAAGCUAAUCGCUUUCA